rnacentral:rRNA from 1 species
AUUGAACGCUGGCGGCAUGCUUUACACAUGUAAGUCGAACGGUAACAUAAGAAAGCUUGCUUUCUUGAUGACGAGUGGCGAACGGGUGAGUAAUACAUCGGAACGUACCCUGUAGUGGGGGAUAACUACUCGAAAGAGUGGCUAAUACCGCAUACAACCUGAGGGUAAAAGUGGGGACCGCAAGGCCUCACGCUAUAGGAGCGGCCGAUGGAAGAUUAGGUAGUUGGUGGGGUAAAGGCCUACCAAGCCGACGAUCUUAGCGGGUCUGAGAGGACGAUCCGCCACACUGGGACUGAGACACGGCCCAGACUCCUACGGGAGGCAGCAGUGGGGAAUUUUGGACAAUGGGCGAAAGCCUGAUCCAGCAAUGCCGCGUGAGUGAAGAAGGCC